AUUGAACGCUGGCGGCAUGCCUUACACAUGCAAGUCGAACGGCAGCGCGGGGCAACCUGGCGGCGAGUGGCGAACGGGUGAGUAAUAUAUCGGAACGUACCCUGGAGUGGGGGAUAACGUAGCGAAGUUACGCUAAUACCGCAUACGAUCUAAGGAUGAAAGUGGGGGACUCGCAAGAAACCUCAUGCUCCUGGAGCGGCCGAUAUCUGAUUAGCUAGUUGGUGGGGAAAGGCCUACCGAAGGCCAUCGAUCAGUAGCUGGUCUGAGA
rnacentral:rRNA from 1 species